AACGCACAUUGCGCCCGCCAGUAUUCUGGCGGGCAUGCCUGUUCGAGCGUCAUUUCAACCCUCAAGCCCCAGCGGCUUGGUGUUGGGGACCGGCGAUGGUGCUUGCUCCGGCGAGCGCGCGCCGCCCCCGAAAUGAAUUGGCGGUCUCGUCGCGGCCUCCUCUGCGUAGUAGCACAACCUCGCAACAGGAGCGCGGCGCGGCCACUGCCGUAAAACGCCCCAACUUCUCAAGAGUUGACCUCGAAUCAGGUAGGAAUACCCGCUGAACUUAA
rnacentral:misc_RNA from 1 species